UACGUAGGGGGCAAGCGUUGUUCGGAAUUACUGGGCGUAAAGGGCGCGUAGGCGGCACAGCAAGUCGCGUGUGAAAGCCCCCGGCUCAACUGGGGAGGGUCACGCGAUACUGAUCGACUCGAAGGCAGGAGAGGGUAGUGGAAUUCCCGGUGUAGUGGUGAAAUGCGUAGAUAUCGGGAGGAACACCAGUGGCGGAAGGCGACUACCUGGCCUGUUUCUUGACGCUGAGGCGCGAAAGCUAGGGGAGCAAACGGG
rnacentral:rRNA from 1 species